rnacentral:rRNA from 1 species
GACGAACGCUGGCGGCGUGCCUAAUACAUGCAAGUAGGACGCACAGUUUAUACCGUAGCUUGCUACACCAUAGACUGUGAGUUGCGAACGGGUGAGUAACGCGUAGGUAACCUGCCUAUUAGAGGGGGAUAACUAUUGGAAACGAUAGCUAAUACCGCAUAACAGUAUGUAACACAUGUUAGAUGCUUGAAAGAUGCAAUUGCAUCGCUAGUAGAUGGACCUGCGUUGUAUUAGCUAGUAGGUAGGGUAAUGGCCUACCUAGGCGACGAUACAUAGCCGACCUGAGAGGGUGAUCGGCCACACUGGGACUGAGACACGGCCCAGACUCCUACGGGAGGCAGCAGUAGGGAAUCUUCGGCAAUGGGGGGAACCCUGACCGAGCAACGCCGCGUGAGUGAAGAAGGUUUUCGGAUCGUAAAGCUCUGUUGUUAAGGAAGAAACGAGUGUGAGAAUGGAAAGUUCAUACUGUGACGGAC